CAGCAGCCACGGUAAUACGUAGGGUGCAAGCGUUAAUCGGAAUUACUGGGCGUAAAGCGUGCGCAGGCGGUUCUAUAAGACAGAUGUGAAAUCCCCGGGCUCAACCUGGGAACUGCAUUUGUGACUGUAGAGCUGGAGUGCGGCAGAGGGGGAUGGAAUUCCGCGUGUAGCAGUGAAAUGCGUAGAUAUGCGGAGGAACACCGAUGGCGAAGGCAAUCCCCUGGGCCUGCACUGACGCUCAUGCACGAAAGCGAGGGGGGCAAACAGGAUUAGAUACCCCCGUAGUCCCUGUCUCUUAUAC
rnacentral:rRNA from 1 species